UUAGGAUUGGCUGCCCCUCCGCAUCCCUAAUGUAAUUAAAACAAGGGGGGAAAAAUUAUCAUGGAGGCAGAGGUUAAUGCAAGUGUUUAGCAGAUGCCUUACAGUAAAAUCUGCAUUAAAAAAAAAAAAAGAAAAAAAGAAAAACCCCAAACAACAAAAAAACCCCAUACAAACUCGUUAAAACUUAAAUAUCGGAUAAUCUCAAACCAGCUUACUGCCUGCGCCUGUGCACCUCCAGCAGCCUUCACCCGAGUGACUGACGCGCCUGAAAUCGGGUUCAUGCUUCUUGAGCUGGUAUGAUCGGAAAGUUAAGAAGCUGGAAAAUGGAGAGGUGAAUGUCAUGUACCUCCCCAGACCUGGAGGGAAACGGAGCUGCGGCCAAAAGGAGUGGGUGUAAAUGCGACAACAAAAAUAAAUACUUUAUAUCACCCUGCAG